rnacentral:rRNA from 1 species
UGAGGAAUAUUGGUCAAUGGUCGGGAGACUGAACCAGCCAAGCCGCGUGAGGGAUGGAGGUACAGAGUAUCGUAAACCUCUUUUGUCAGGGAACAAAGGGCGCCACGUG